AUUGAACGCUGGCGGCAUGCCUUACACAUGCAAGUCGAACGGUAACAGGUCUUCGGAUGCUGACGAGUGGCGAACGGGUGAGUAAUACAUCGGAACGUGCCCGAGAGUGGGGGAUAACGAAGCGAAAGCUUUGCUAAUACCGCAUACGAUCUCAGGAUGAAAGCAGGGGACCGAAAGGCCUUGCGCUCACGGAGCGGCCGAUGGCAGAUUAGGUAGUUGGUGGGAUAAAAGCUUACCAAGCCGACGAUCUGUAGCUGGUCUGAGCGGACGACCAGCCACACUGGGACUGAGACACGGCCCAGACUCCUACGGGAGGCAGCAGUGGGGAAUUUUGGACAAUGGGCUCAAGCCUGAUCCAGCCAUGCCGCGUGCAGGAUGAAGGCCUUCGGGUUGUAAACUGCUUUUGUACGGAACGAAAAGACUCCUUCUAAUAAAGGGGGUCCAUGACGGUACCGUAAGAAUAAGCACCGGCUAACUACGUGCCAGCAGCCGCGGUAAAAC
rnacentral:rRNA from 1 species